rnacentral:tRNA from 1 species
AAGGCUUUAGCUUAAUUAAAGUGUCUGCUUUGCAUGCAGAAGAUGUAGGUUAGUGCCCUGUAAGUCUUA